AUGGUUGUGAGUUGGCAGGAAGAUAUUUAGAUUUAGGUUGUAAGGGGAAUUGCUGAUUAGGGUACUUGUGUGGAGGAUUGCGGCUCUACCUAGCUCCGACCAACAUUUCCAGCGUCAACAGUGGCUUGGUAGUGAGGACUUUGACGCGAGACGAGCAUCUCGACGUCGUAUUCGGACCAGAUUGGAC